GCCCGCUCAAGAACUACAAGGAAUUGACGGGCCCGCACAAGCGGUGGAGUAUGUGGUUUAAUUCGAUGCAACGCGAAGAACCUUACCUGGUCUUGACAUCCCGGAGACCCUUAGGAAACUAGGGGGUGCUUCCAUCUGGAAGAAUCUGGAGACAGGUGCUGCAUGGCUGUCGUCAGCUCGUGUCGUGAGAUGUUGGGUUAAGUCCCGCAACGAGCGCAACCCUUGCCUUUAGUUGCCAGCAGUUCGGCUGGGCACUCUAAAGGGACUGCCGGUGUUAAACCGGAGGAAGGUGGGGAUGACGUCAAGUCCUCAUGGCCUUUAUGACCAGGGCUACACACGUACUACAAUGGCCGAUACAAAGGGCAGCGACACUGCGAGGUGAAGCCAAUCCCGUAAAAUCGGUCUCAGUCCGGAUUGGAGUCUGCAACUCGACUCCAUGAAGUUGGAAUCGCUAGUAAUCGUGGAUCAGCAUGCCACGGUGAAUACGUUCCCGGGCCUU
rnacentral:rRNA from 1 species